rnacentral:rRNA from 1 species
AUUGAACGCUGGCGGCAUGCCUUACACAUGCAAGUCGAACGGCAGCACGGGAGCAAUCCUGGUGGCGAGUGGCGAACGGGUGAGUAAUAUAUCGGCACGUGCCCAGUAGUGGGGGAUAACUGCUCGAAAGAGCAGCUAAUACCGCAUACGACCUGAGGGUGAAAGCGGGGGAUCGCAAGACCUCGCGCUAUUGGAGCGGCCGAUAUCAGAUUAGCUAGUUGGUGGGGUAAAAGCUCACCAAGGCGACGAUCUGUAGCUGGUCUGAGAGGACGACCAGCCACACUGGGACUGAGACACGGCCCAGACUCCUACGGGAGGCAGCAGUGGGGAAUUUUGGACAAUGGGCGCAAGCCUGAUCCAGCCAUGCCGCGUGCGGGAAGAAGGCCUUCGGGUUGUAAACCGCUUUUGUCAGGGAAGAAACGGCUCCUACUAAUACUGGGGGCUAAUGACGGUACCUGAAGAAUAAGCACCGGCUAACUACGUGCCAGCCGCCGCCGUAA